AUGAGUUAUGAUUGCUUUGGAUCUACUAGAAGAAAUAUGCUGGAAAUGCAGGUUGCCUCUACCUGGCCUGGUGCCCAUCGCCCUGUGAGGUUGGUGGACUCAACAUUCCAUUGCACAUUAUAUAAAGGGAAGAAUUACCAAUGGACUUCAGUCAGAAUUCUGGCAGCAUCCCUCAUGAAGGGUCAGCUGUGUCCAGGUAGCGAGGCAAGGUCACAAGUGUCCCCCAUCUUCUUACUUACAGCCAGGAUGGAAGAGCAGCUUUCUGCUGGGACAUGUUGCUUCAUCAAGCUGCAGUCCACACUCCGGGUGCUGCCUGGCUCGCCCUGACCCUUGGUCGUGAUGCCACUGCGCUACUGCUGUGCUUGUCCGCGCCUCCCUCCGCUCCAGAAAUCAGAUGUCCCCCCAAAAAUCCAAGUUCAUGCAGGACUCUUUCAUGGACAAAUAAGCUUUCUCCUAUUUAUUGACACAAGAGUCACUUGGUUGUCUUUUAAAAAUACAUGUGUUAUUUAUAAUACAACUGUUGUUCUUUAUUACAAACAAAUUUCCUUAGGAAAAUAACUCCUCUUGAUGCUGUAAUACACAUAUUAUUGAAUAACUGACAUGUAUGGUCCAUAGUACAAUGAAGAAUCAUCUGCCCAAUAAAAAAAGCAU
rnacentral:lncRNA from 12 species